CUCCGGAGUGACGGGUACACUGUGGGGACCGCCGCUGCUAAAGCGGAGAAGGGAAUGGGCAACGGUAGGUCAGUAUGCCCCGAAUAUCCCGGGCUACACGCGAGCUACAAUGGUUGGUACAAUGGGUAUCUACCCCGAAAGGGACGGGAAUCUCCUAAAACCAAUCUUAGUUCGGAUUGAGGGCUGCAACUCGCCCUCAUGAAGCUGGAAUCCGUAGUAAUCGCGUUUCAACAGAACGCGGUGAAUACGUCCCUGCUCCUU
rnacentral:rRNA from 1 species